AUCCCUUCCCUUACUA
rnacentral:tRNA from 1 species